rnacentral:lncRNA from 1 species
GUGAAGCUCAUAUUGUUAUUUUAGUUGUUUAAAAAAAUGUAUGGAGAUAGAUCAUUUCAACUUCAGAGUCAAAAAUAGCAAAACUCGCGUAUUAAGUGUUUACUAAGACACUUAAUAUUAUAUACCUAAUAUUUAUUAUGCUACACUCGAAUUCAUUAAAAAACAAGGCAGAAAUCUCCUGCUUUAAUAUAAUACAAUUAUAUAACUGACCUCUUAAUCUGUAGCAUAGAAAUACUUUGAAGUUUUAAAGUCUCAUUAUUAGGGAUUUGUAGCCUCAGGUUUCUGGAAAGGAAGACAUUCUGUUUUAAAAAGUAAUAAUUAUCAGUCACCUAGGAGGUAAAGAAAAACCACAACAUAGACCUGAAAAGCAUAAGCAGAAUUGUUGCAAUCUUAAUAUGAACAAUAAACUUGCC